CCUACGGGAGGCAGCAGUGGGGAAUAUUGCACAAUGGGGGAAACCCUGAUGCAGCGACGCCGCGUGAGUGAAGAAGUAUUUCGGUACGUAAAGCUCUAUCAGCAGGGAAGAAAAUGACGGUAACUGAUUAAGAAGCCCCGGCUAACUACGUGCCAGCAGCCGCGGUAAUACGAAGGGGGAACGCGUUAUCCGGAUUUACUGGGUGUAAAGGGAGCGUAGACGGCAGUACAAGUCUGGAGUGAAAGGCCGGGGCUUAACCCCGGAACUGCUUUGGAAACUGUGCAGCUUGAGUGCAGGAGAGGUAAGUGGAAUUCCAAGUGUAGCGGUGAAAUGCGUAGAUAUUAGGAGGAACACCAGUGGCGAAGGCGGCUUACUGGACUGUAACUGACGUUGAGGCUCGAAAGCGUGGGGAGCAAACAGGAUUAGAUACCCGAGUAGUC
rnacentral:rRNA from 1 species